rnacentral:rRNA from 1 species
AUGCAGAUCUUCGUCAAGACGCCGGCGGGGAAGACCACCACCCUGGAGGUCGAGAGCAGCCACACCGUCGAUGAUGUCAAGUCCAAGGUCCAGGACAAGGAAGGAAUCUCGCCGGACCAGCAGCGUCUCGUCUACGCCGGGAAGCAGCUGCCGGACGGCCGCACCCUGGCCGACUACGGUGUACACAAGGAGUCCACAAUCCACCUCGUGCUACGCCUCGGCGGAGGCUGGUGCUUCUACAAAUACGGCCCCGACCUGCGAGCCCUCGCGGAAAAGUACAACGCCAACAAGAUGAUCUGCUGCAAGUGCUAUGCUCGGCUGCUUCUUAGAGCUACAAACUGCCGCAAGAAGAAGUGUGGCCACAGCAACCAGGUGAAACUUCAUCCAUUGUCCCUUUAUGGAAGAAAGAAAUCAUGUUCUUUGCCUCAUAGAUCUUGUUAG